AAUCACAUGCGACCAAUAAAAUGAGAGGAAAGAAAUCUUGUGACAUCAAUUGUAACAUCAACGGAAAUCUUAAUUGAAACAACAGUCAAGUGAAGAUCAGUUAAAAAUCUAAUUUGAAAGUUGUCGUAAGGCCCAUGAUGAUCCUCGUUCCCCAGACUUGCAAAAAAGUCAUAAUUAUUCCUGGCCAACUCUCAAUACAUUGUUUUUUUUCAAUCCUCGCCACCAGUAAGGAGUGUCAAACGCAUCAUGGCCACUGAUAUAGGUAAAUUUUUUAAUUCUGCGGAAAUAUUGGCAAGCGUUCCAUUCUAGGCUUUACAAUUUAAAUGGUUGGGAACGGCCGGUAAUGCGGGUAGCAAUUUAGGUAUUCAGAUCGACUCAUUGAAUCGGUUUUUAUCGCCAAAUGCAUUCCUAAUGUAAGAAAAUGUAUACCGCAAGGUAAUUUAAACGUCGUGAGCAUAACCACACCAUUUCAACCUCAAGGUAUAAUAUUCUCAAGACAGCAAAGGAUGAAAGUGUAGUAAUGUAAUGAAAAAAUCUCUACCCCAAGAAGAAAUAAAGGCAGAGCCAAUAAACUUAAAUAUGGUUCUCGAACUUGACCUUACGACUCUACUAAGAAAUUAUUUAACAAUUUAACUGUGUCAAUCUCUCUCAACUAUACAUUCGCAAUAACCGCCAAUGAAAACACUUGGCCAACAUAUUACCUGGAAUGCAUAUUAUUAUGGCAAAUACACAUACAUAAUGAUCAAUUUUGGUAAGGAGGUCCCACAAGGACGGAUGGACGCACAAUGACCUAUAUAAGUGGUUAAGAUCAAUUUUCAAUCUCUAGAUAUCAAAAAUUUAAAUUAUUGUGCCACUUAAAUUGAUAAAGUCAAUAUAAGCAAAUUUAGUAAGCAAAAA